GGAAGAGUUGUGGCUCAGUGGUAGAGCAACUGCUUUAUAUGCAGAAGCUCCCAGGUUCAGUUCCUGGCAUUUCCA